rnacentral:rRNA from 1 species
UACGUAGGGAGCAAGCGUUGUUCGGGAUUUACUGGGCGUAAAGGGCGCGUAGGCGGCGCGGUAAGUCACUUGUGAAAUCUCUGAGCUUAACUCAGAACGGCCAAGUGAUACUGCAGUGCUAGAGUGCAGAAGGGGCAAUCGGAAUUCUUGGUGUAGCGGUGAAAUGCGUAGAUAUCAAGAGGAACACCUGAGGCGAAGGCGGGUUGCUAGGCUGACACUGACGCUGAUGCGCGAAAGCCAGGGGAGCAAACGGG